rnacentral:rRNA from 1 species
GACGAACGCUGGCGGCGUGCUUAACACAUGCAAGUCGAGCGGUAAGGCCCUUUCGGGGGUACACGAGCGGCGAACGGGUGAGUAACACGUGGGUGACCUGCCCUCAGCUCUGGGAUAAGCCUGGGAAACCGGGUCUAAUACUGGAUAUGACUCCAUGACGCAUGUUGUGGGGUGGAAAGCCUUGUGCGGCUGAGGAUGGGCCCGCGGCCUAUCAGCUUGUUGGUGGGGUGANGGCCUACCAAGGCGACGACGGGUAGCCGGCCUGAGAGGGCGACCGGCCACACUGGGACUGAGACACGGCCCAGACUCCUACGGGAGGCAGCAGUGGGGAAUAUUGGACAAUGGGCGCAAGCCUGAUCCAGCGAUGCCGCGUGUGUGAAGAA